rnacentral:rRNA from 1 species
UACACUCCUGCGGGAGGCAGCAGUGGGGAAUAUUGCACAAUGGGCGCAAGCCUGAUGCAGCCAUGCCGCGUGUAUGAAGAAGGCCUUCGGGUUGUAAAGUACUUUCAGCGGGGAGGAAGGCGAUAAGGUUAAUAACCUUGUCGAUUGACGUUACCCGCAGAAGAAGCACCGGCUAACUCCGUGCCAGCAGCCGCGGUAAUACGGAGGGUGCAAGCGUUAAUCGGAAUUACUGGGCGUAAAGCGCACGCAGGCGGUCUGUCAAGUCGGAUGUGAAAUCCCCGGGCUCAACCUGGGAACUGCAUUCGAAACUGGCAGGCUAGAGUCUUGUAGAGGGGGGUAGAAUUCCAGGUGUAGCGGUGAAAUGCGUAGAGAUCUGGAGGAAUACCGGUGGCGAAGGCGGCCCCCUGGACAAAGACUGACGCUCAGGUGCGAAAGCGUGGGGAGCAAACAGGAUUAGAAACCCGAGUAGUCCCAUGA